ACGGGAGGCAGCAGCUAAGAAUAUUCCGCAAUGGACGAAAGUCUGACGGAGCGACGCCGCGUGGAUGAUGAAGGCCGGAAGGUUGUAAAAUCCUUUUAUGACUGAGGAAUAAGUGGAGUGAGAGAAACGCUUCAUGGUGACUGUAGGUCAUGAAUAAGCAACGGCUAAUUGCGUGCCAGCAGCCGCGGUAACACGUAAGUUGCGAGCGUUGUUCGGAAUUAUUGGGCGUAAAGGGCAUGUAGGCGGUUUUGCAAGCUUGGUGUGAAAUGCAGGAGCUUAACUCCUGGACUGGGUUGAGAACUGCAAGACUUGAGUCACUGAGUGGCAAUCAGAAUUCCUGGUGUAGGGGUGAAAUCUGUAGAUAUCAGGACGAAUACCAAUGGCGAAGGCAGGUUACCAGCAGAUGACUGACGCUUAGGUGCGAAGGUGCGGGGAGCAACCAGGAUUAGAUACCCUGGUA
rnacentral:rRNA from 1 species